UAGGGAAUAUUAGUAAUGGGCGAAAGCCUGAACUAGCAACGCCGCGUGUGCGAAGAAGGCCUUCGGGUUGUAAAGCACUUUUUGAGAGGAUGAGGAAGGACGGUACUCUCAGAAUAAGUCUCGGCUAACUACGUGCCAGCAGCCGCGGUAACACGUAGGAGGCGAACGUUAUCCGGGUUUACUGGGCGUAAAGCGCGUGUAGGUGGUUUGGUAAGUAGGGCGUGAAAGCUCCUGGCUCAACUGGGAGAGGCCGUUCUAAACUGCCGAACUAGAGGAUGGUAGAGGGGUGGGGAAUUCCGGGUGUAGCGGUGGGAUGCGCAAAUAUCCGGAGGAAAACCAGUGGCGGAAGCGGCCUCC
rnacentral:rRNA from 1 species